GUGAAUCAUCAAAUUUUUGAACGCAAAUUGCACUCCCUGGUAUUCCGGGGAGUAUGCCUGUUUGAGGGUCGUUAGAAGAAAAAUCGAAGCAUCGCUCUUUUUUGGAGGGUGAUCGCGUGGGAAUUGAGCCGUCUUUCAAAUGUUAAUUCAUGUCAAAGUGGUUUAAAAUUCAUCAAUUUGGUACGAUUUAAGCGUAUUCAAGUUCAAUUUUGAUUUAGAUAGUGGGAUG
rnacentral:misc_RNA from 1 species